rnacentral:rRNA from 1 species
CUACGGGUUGCUGCAGUAAGGAAUCUUGUGCAAUGGGCGAAAGCCUGACACAGCGACGCCGCGUGGGGGACGAAGGUCUUCGGGUUGUAAACCCCUUUCGUGUGGGAAGAAGACUGACUUAACCACAGGAAGAAGCACCGGCUAACUCCGUGCCAGCAGCUGCGGUAAUACGGGGAGUGCGAACGUUGUUCGGAUUCACUGGGCGUGAAGCGCGCGUAGGCGGUUCGGCAAAUCGGUUGUGAAAUCCUUCCGCCUAACGGAAGAAUGGCAGCCGAAAAUACCGGGCUAGAGGUCGUCAGGGGCAAGUGGAACUCUUGGUGGAGCGGUGAAAUGCGUAGAUAUCAAGAGGAACGCCGGAGGCGAAAGCGACUUGCUGGGGCGAUUCUGACGCUGAGGUGCGAAAGCUAGGGGAGCAAACAGGAUUAGAUACCCCUGUAGUC